GACGAACGCUGGCGGCGUGCUUAACACAUGCAAGUCGAACGGAAAGGCCCUGCUUUUGUGGGGUGCUCGAGUGGCGAACGGGUGAGUAACACGUGAGUAACCUGCCCUUGACUUUGGGAUAACUUCAGGAAACUGGGGCUAAUACCGGAUAGGAGCUCCUGCUGCAUGGUGGGGGUUGGAAAGUUUCGGCGGUUGGGGAUGGACUCGCGGCUUAUCAGCUUGUUGGUGGGGUAGUGGCUUACCAAGGCUUUGACGGGUAGCCGGCCUGAGAGGGUGACCGGCCCAAAUGGGACUGGGAUACGGGCCAGACCCCUACGGGAGGCAGGAGGGGGGAAUAUUGGACAAUGGGCGGAAGCCUGAUGCAGCCACGCCGCGUGCGGGAAUACGGCCUUCGGGUUGGAAACCGCUUUCGCCUGUGACGAAGCGUGAGGGACGGUAAUGGGUAAAGAAGCAACGGCUAACUACGUG
rnacentral:rRNA from 1 species